UACAGAGGUCUCAAGCGUUUGUUCGGAUUCAUUGGGCGUAAAGGGCGCGUAGGCGGCCUGGCAAGUGGAAGGUGAAAUCCCCUCGGCUUAACCGAGGAACUGCCUCCCAACUGCUUGGCUCGAGACCGGGAGAGGUGAGUGGAAUUCCCAGUGUAGCGGUGAAAUGCGUAGAUAUUGGGAGGAACACCAGUGGCGAAGGCGGCUCACUGGACCGGUACUGACGCUGAUGCGCGAAAGCGUGGGAGCAACGGG
rnacentral:rRNA from 1 species